AACGCACAUUGCGCCCCUUGGUAUUCCAUGGGGCAUGCCUGUUCGAGCGUCAUUUGUACCCUCAAGCUUUGCUUGGUGUUGGGUGUUUGUCUUUUCCACGCGAUCAGACUCGCCUUAAAAUAAUUGGCAGCCAGUGUUUUGGUUUUGAAGCGCAGCACAAGUCGCGAUUCAGCUUACAUCACUAGUUUCCAUUAAGCAUUUUAUCACUUUUGACCUCGGAUCAGGUAGGGAUACCCGCUGAACUUAA
rnacentral:misc_RNA from 1 species